UUUAUGGGGUGACUGCGUACCUUUUGUAUAAUGGGUCAGCGACUUAUAUUCUGUAGCAAGGUUAACCGUAUAGGGGAGCCGAAGGGAAACCGAGUCUUAACUGGGCGUUAAGUUGCAGGGUAUAGACCCGAAACCCGGUGAUCUAGCCAUGGGCAGGUUGAAGGUUGGGUAACACUAACUGGAGGACCGAACCGACUAAUGUUGAAAAAUUAGCGGAUGACCUGUGGCUGGGGGUGAAAGGCCAAUCAAACCGGGAGAUAGCUGGUUCUCCCCGAAAGCUAUUUAGGUAGCGCCUCGUGAACUCAUCUUCGGGGGUAGAGCACUGUUUCGGCUAGGGGGCCAUCCCGGCUUACCAACCCGAUGCAAACUACGAAUACCGAAGAAUGUUAUCACGGGAGACACACGGCGGGUGCUAACGUCCGUCGUGAAGAGGGAAACAACCCAGACCGCCAGCUAAGGUCCCAAAGUCAUGGUUAAGUGGGAAACGAUGUGGGAAGGCACAGACAGCCAGGAUGUUGGCUUAGAAGCAGCCAUCAUUUAAAGAAAGCGUAAUAGCUCACUGGUCGAGUCGGCCUGCGCGGAAGAUGUAACGGGGCUAAACCAUGCACCGAAGCUGCGGCAGCGACGCUUAUGCGUUGUUGGGUAGGGGAGCGUUCUGUAAGCCGUUGAAGGUGUGCUGUGAGGCAUGCUGGAGGUAUCAGAAGUGCGAAUGCUGACAUAAGUAACGAUAAAGCGGGUGAAAAGCCCGCUCGCCGGAAGACCAAGGGUUCCUGUCCAACGUUAAUCGGGGCAGGGUGAGUCGACCCCUAAGGCGAGGCCGAAAGGCGUAGUCGAUGGGAAACAGGUUAAUAUUCCUGUACUUGGUGUUACUGCGAAGGGGGGACGGAGAAGGCUAUGUCAGCCGGGCGACGGUUGUCCCGGUUUAAGCAUGUAGGCGGAGGUUCCAGGUAAAUCCGGUACCUUGUUAACGCUGAGGUGUGAUGACGAGGCACUACGGUGCUGAAGUGAUAAAUGCCCUGCUUCCAGGAAAAGCCUCUAAGCAUCAGGUAACACGAAAUCGUACCCCAAACCGACACAGGUGGUCAGGUAGAGAAUACCAAGGCGCUUGAGAGAACUCGGGUGAAGGAACUAGGCAAAAUGGUGCCGUAACUUCGGGAGAAGGCACGCUGAUGUGUAGGUGAAGCCCCUGCGGGUGGAGCUGAAAUCAGUCGAAGAUACCAGCUGGCUGCAACUGUUUAUUAAAAACACAGCACUGUGCAAACACGAAAGUGGACGUAUACGGUGUGACGCCUGCCCGGUGCCGGAAGGUUAAUUGAUGGGGUUAGCGGCAACGCGAAGCUCUUGAUCGAAGCCCCGGUAAACGGCGGCCGUAACUAUAACGGUCCUAAGGUAGCGAAAUUCCUUGUCGGGUAAGUUCCGACCUGCACGAAUGGCGUAAUGAUGGCCAGGCUGUCUCCACCCGAGACUCAGUGAAAUUGAACUCGCUGUGAAGAUGCAGUGUACCCGCGGCAAGACGGAAAGACCCCGUGAACCUUUACUAUAGCUUGACACUGAACACUGGUCCUUGAUGUGUAGGAUAGGUGGGAGGCUUUGAAGCGUGGACGCCAGUCUGCGUGGAGCCAACCUUGAAAUACCACCCUUUAAUGGCUGGUGUUCUAACGUAGACCCGUAAUCCGGGUUGCGGACAGUGUCUGGUGGGUAGUUUGACUGGGGCGGUCUCCUCCCAAAGAGUAACGGAGGAGCACGAAGGUUGGCUAAUCCUGGUCGGACAUCAGGAGGUUAGUGCAAUGGCAUAAGCCAGCUUGACUGCGAGCGUGACGGCGCGAGCAGGUGCGAAAGCAGGUCAUAGUGAUCCGGUGGUUCUGAAUGGAAGGGCCAUCGCUCAACGGAUAAAAGGUACUCCGGGGAUAACAGGCUGAUACCGCCCAAGAGUUCAUAUCGACGGCGGUGUUUGGCACCUCGAUGUCGGCUCAUCACAUCCUGGGGCUGAAGUAGGUCCCAAGGGUAUGGCUGUUCGCCAUUUAAAGUGGUACGCGAGCUGGGUUUAGAACGUCGUGAGACAGUUCGGUCCCUAUCUGCCGUGGGCGCUGGAGAAUUGAGGGGGGCUGCUCCUAGUACGAGAGGACCGGAGUGGACGCAUCACUGGUGUUCGGGUUGUCAUGCCAAUGGCACUGCCCGGUAGCUAAAUGCGGAAGAGAUAAGUGCUGAAAGCAUCUAAGCACGAAACUUGCCCCGAGAUGAGUUCUCCCUGAGACUUUAAGUCUCCUGAAGGAACGUUNGACGUUGAUAGGUCGGGUGUGUAAGCGCAGCGAUGCGUUGAGCUAACCGAUACUAAUGAACCGUGAGGCUUAACC
rnacentral:rRNA from 1 species